UAAGGAAUAUUGGUCAAUGGACGCAAGUCUGAACCAGCCAUGCCGCGUGGAGGAUGAAGGUCCUCUGGAUUGUAAACUUCUUUUAUCGGAGAAGAAACCCCCGAAUUUUUUGGGGUUGACGGUACCCGAUGAAUAAGCACCGGCUAACUCCGUGCCAGCAGCCGCGGUAAUACGGAGGGUGCAAGCGUUAUCCGGAUUCACUGGGUUUAAAGGGAGCGUAGGUGGGCUGGUAAGUCAGUGGUGAAAUCUCCGGGCUUAACUCGGAAACUGCCGUUGAUACUAUCAGUCUUGAAUAUUGUGGAGGUAAGCGGAAUAUGUCAUGUAGCGGUGAAAUGCUUAGAUAUGACAUAGAACACCGAUAGCGAAGGCAGCUUGCUACACAAUUAUUGACACUGAGGCUCGAAAGCGUGGGGAUCAAACAGGAUUAGAUACCCUGGUAGUCCACGCCCUAAACGAUGGAUACUCGACAUAUGCGAUACACUGUAUGUGUCUGAGCGAAAG
rnacentral:rRNA from 1 species